rnacentral:rRNA from 1 species
GACGAACGCUGGCGGCGUGCUUAACACAUGCAAGUCGAACGGAAAGGCCCUGCUUGCAGGGUACUCGAGUGGCGAACGGGUGAGUAACACGUGGGUGUUCUGCCCUGCACUUCGGGGUAAGCCUUGGGAACUGGGUCUAAUAUCGGAUAGGAGCCCUCCUUAGUGUGAUGGUUGGAAAGUUUUUUCGGUGUAGGAUGAGCUCGCGGGCUAUCAGCUUGUUGGUGGGGUAAUGGCCUACCAAGGCGGCGACGGGUAGCCGGCCUGGGAGGGUGGACGGCCACCAUGGGAAUGAGAUACGGCCCCGAAUCCUACGGGGGGGAGCAGGGGGGGAAAUUGGACCAUGGGGGCGAGGCUGAUGCCGGGAACGCGCGGGGCGGGAGGAGGGCUUUGGGUUGUAAACUCGCUUCCCCAGGGAACAAGCCGUGUGUGACGGUAACGAGAAAAGAAGCACCGGCUAACUACGUG